AAGAGGACAGACUGUGAAAUCUGGAAUCUGUGUGUGUGUGUGUGGUGUGAGUCUCUUUCUCUCACGCAUUCAGCAUGCUAAGUGCAGUGAUGGACUGCCAUGUGUCAUAGCGUGACUUGGUAGCUUUGAUUGGUGGAAAAGCAAGGACUCUUUCUGGGCUGGGAUGGAGGAAAGAAGAGAUAAUUUGUUCCUAUCAUGAGAUGACAGGAAGUGUCUGAAUGGAUCCUUGUAAGUUUGUUGAUGGAGCCAACAUUUUGGUGGAUCUGGGCUUUAGUCUUCCUCCGGUUUUGUGAUUUUGCUGUGUUUACCUUGACGUUUUAAAUAUUAACCUGGAAGACUAGACUUUCUUUGAGGUCUGCAAAAAGACUCGCAAGGAUGUGUUCUGUGGUAGUACCAUUCUUCUUAACUUCAAGGAAUAUUUUUAAGUCCUAGAGAAUGGGAUAAACAGUACCAUUUUGGAAGUGGAGUGAGGAUAAGCGGCAUCAGCACGGUCUUAUUGGUGUCUUUCCUAUUAACAUUUACUUCGCGUUGACUGUUUUGUGGCAUGUUGGUUUUUCCAGGCAGACCACAGAAUAUGCAUGACCCCGGAGGAAGGACCCAUAUCCCUGAGGUACAACUCUGUUCUUAAUCUCACCAGAAGGAUGGGGUUCAGAACAGAGUUGUAGGGAAGCACUGCAUUAACACCGCUUAACUUUGAUGGGAUAGUGG
rnacentral:lncRNA from 1 species